UAAAAAAAGGUAAGCUACUAAGAGCGAAUGGUGGAUGCCUUGACUGGUAAAGGCGAUGAAGGACGUACUAGACUGCGAUAAGCUACGGGGAGCUGUCAAGAAGCUUUGAUCCGUAGAUUUCCGAAUGGGGCAACCCAAUGUAUAGAGAUAUACAUUACCUAUAUAGGAGCGAACGAGGGGAAUUGAAACAUCUUAGUACCCUCAGGAAAAGAAAUCAAUAGAGAUUGCGUCAGUAGCGGCGAGCGAAAGCGCAAGAGGGCAAACCCAGUGCUUGCACUGGGGGUUGUAGGACUGCAAUGUGCAAGAGGUAAGUUUAGCAGAACAUUCUGGAAAGUAUAACCAUAGAGGGUGAUAGUCCCGUAUGCGAAAAACAAACCUUAGCUAGCAGUAUCCUGAGUAGGGCGGGACACGAGGAAUCCUGUCUGAAUCCGGGUCGACCACGAUCCAACCCUAAAUACUAAUACCAGAUCGAUAGUGCACAAGUACCGUGAGGGAAAGGUGAAAAGAACUGAGGUGAUCAGAGUGAAAUAGAACCUGAAACCAUUUGCUUACAAUCAUUCAGAGCCCUAUGUAGCAAUACAGGGUGAUGGACUGCCUUUUGCAUAAUGAGCCUGCGAGUUGUGGUGUCUGGCAAGGUUAAGCAAACGCGAAGCCGUAGCGAAAGCGAGUCUGAAUAGGGCGCUUAGUCAGAUGCUGCAGACCCGAAACGAAGUGAUCUAUCCAUGAGCAAGUUGAAGCUAGUGUAAGAACUAGUGGAGGACUGAACCCAUAGGCGUUGAAAAGCCCCGGGAUGACUUGUGGAUAGGGGUGAAAGGCCAAUCAAACUUCGUGAUAGCUGGUUCUCUCCGAAAUAUAUUUAGGUAUAGCGUUGUGUCGUAAUAUAAGGGGGUAGAGCACUGAAUGGGCUAGGGCAUACACCAAUGUACCAAACCCUAUCAAACUCCGAAUACCUUAUAUGUAAUCACAGCAGUCAGGCGGCGAGUGAUAAAAUCCGUCGUCAAGAGGGAAACAACCCAGACUACCAGCUAAGGUCCCUAAAUCUUACUUAAGUGGAAAACGAUGUGAAGUUACUUAAACAACCAGGAGGUUGGCUUAGAAGCAGCCAUCCUUUAAAGAAAGCGUAAUAGCUCACUGGUCUAGUGAUUUUGCGCGGAAAAUAUAACGGGGCUAAAGUAAGUACCGAAGCUGUAGACUUGCACACAACUUAGAUUAUUUAAGUUUAGAAUAUGAGAAACUAAGUUAUAUGUUUAGUUAUAUUUUUACUGAUUUUUAUAGAGUAAAGAUAGAAAUAAAACUUAGUAAAAUCAGUAAAAAUAUUCUUAGACUAAAGUUAAGUAGUUUAAGUUGUGUGCAAGUGGUAGGAGAGCGUUCUAUUUGCGUCGAAGGUAUACCGGUAAGGAGUGCUGGAGCGAAUAGAAGUGAGCAUGCAGGCAUGAGUAGCGAUAAUUAAUGUGAGAAUCAUUAACGCCGUAAACCCAAGGUUUCCUACGCGAUGCUCGUCAUCGUAGGGUUAGUCGGGUCCUAAGUCGAGUCCGAAAGGGGUAGACGAUGGCAAAUUGGUUAAUAUUCCAAUACCAACAUUAGUGUGCGAUGGAAGGACGCUUAGGGCUAAGGGGGCUAGCGGAUGGAAGUGCUAGUCUAAGGUCGUAGGAGGUUAUACAGGCAAAUCCGUAUAACAAUACUCCGAGAACUGAAAGGCUUUUUGAAGUCUUCGGAUGGAUAGAAGAACCCCUGAUGCCGUCGAGCCAAGAAAAGUUUCUAAGUUUAGCUAAUGUUGCCCGUACCGUAAACCGACACAGGUGGGUGGGAUGAGUAUUCUAAGGCGCGUGGAAGAACUCUCUUUAAGGAACUCUGCAAAAUAGCACCGUAUCUUCGGUAUAAGGUGUGGUUAGCUUUGUAUUAGGAUUUACUCCGAAAGCAAGGAAACUUACAACAAAGAGUCCCUCCCGACUGUUUACCAAAAACACAGCACUCUGCUAACUCGUAAGAGGAUGUAUAGGGUGUGACGCCUGCCCGGUGCUCGAAGGUUAAUUGAUGGGGUUAGCAUUAGCGAAGCUCUUGAUCGAAGCCCGAGUAAACGGCGGCCGUAACUAUAACGGUCCUAAGGUAGCGAAAUUCCUUGUCGGUUAAAUACCGACCUGCAUGAAUGGCGUAACGAGAUGGGAGCUGUCUCAAAGAGGGAUCCAGUGAAAUUGUAGUGGAGGUGAAAAUUCCUCCUACCCGCGGCAAGACGGAAAGACCCCGUGGACCUUUACUACAGCUUGACACUGCUACUUGGAUAAGAAUGUGCAGGAUAGGUGGGAGGCUUUGAGUAUAUGACGCCAGUUGUAUAUGAGCCAUUGUUGAGAUACCACUCUUUCUUAUUUGGGUAGCUAACCAGCUUGAGUUAUCCUCAAGUGGGACAAUGUCUGGUGGGUAGUUUGACUGGGGCGGUCGCCUCCCAAAUAAUAACGGAGGCUUACAAAGGUUGGCUCAGAACGGUUGGAAAUCGUUCGUAGAGUAUAAAGGUAUAAGCCAGCUUAACUGCAAGACAUACAAGUCAAGCAGAGACGAAAGUCGGUCUUAGUGAUCCGGUGGUUCUGUGUGGAAGGGCCAUCGCUCAAAGGAUAAAAGGUACCCCGGGGAUAACAGGCUGAUCUCCCCCAAGAGCUCACAUCGACGGGGAGGUUUGGCACCUCGAUGUCGGCUCAUCGCAUCCUGGGGCUGGAGCAGGUCCCAAGGGUAUGGCUGUUCGCCAUUUAAAGCGGUACGCGAGCUGGGUUCAGAACGUCGUGAGACAGUUCGGUCCCUAUCUGCCGUGGGCGUAAGAAGAUUGAAGAGAUUUGACCCUAGUACGAGAGGACCGGGUUGAACAAACCACUGGUGUAGCUGUUGUUCUGCCAAGAGCAUCGCAGCGUAGCUAAGUUUGGAAAGGAUAAACGCUGAAAGCAUCUAAGCGUGAAGCCAACUCUAAGAUGAAUCUUCUCUAAGCUCUCUAGAAGACUACUAGUUUGAUAGGCUGGGUGUGUAAUGGAUGAAAGU
rnacentral:rRNA from 1 species